UACGAAGGGGGCUAGCGUUGCUCGGAAUUACUGGGCGUAAAGGGCGCGUAGGCGGACAGCUUAGUCAGAGGUGAAAGCCCAGGGCUCAACCUUGGAAUUGCCUUUGAUACUGGCUAUCUUGAGUUCGGGAGAGGUGAGUGGAAUGCCGAGUGUAGAGGUGAAAUUCGUAGAUAUUCGGCGGAACACCAGUGGCGAAGGCGACUCACUGGCCCGAUACUGACGCUGAGGCGCGAAAGCGUGGGGAGCAAACAGGG
rnacentral:rRNA from 1 species